GGGGCCAGAGGUGGACUCAGCGCUGAGCCGCCGGCCCAGGCCCACAAAGGCGCCGCGCCGGCAGCUAGGGUGCCCGGGCGAGAGCCCUUACCCACCGGAGCUGCGAGGGAGGGAAGAAGCGAUCGGAGAACGGAGGGGGCCGCCCGCGCGCACGCGCGCCGCACCCCGCCUGCCUCGUCCGCCUGGCUCCGCGCAGGAGGACGGAGAGGGAAGGGUCAGGCCGGAUUGCCUUGGUGCCGCGGGUCCAGUAAUGUGCCCCUCGCGCGCGCCCUGGGGGCGAGGCGGGUUCCGGAGUGCUGCGAUUUCCCCCGCCCUCGGGCGGCGGGAGGCAGGCGGUGCUGUGCGCAGGCGCGCCUGGCAGAGACCACCCCCGCCCUGCUUGGGGCGGCCCGAGGUGGGGCGGGGCAGCGGCGAAGGCCUCCAGCUGCCCCGGGGCGGGGAGCGGCAACGGCAGGGGAGCCGGCGGCGGGCGGAACGGCGGCUGCCGCUGUGGAGAAAUCUUGGUUGCAACUUAAUCAUCAGUCCUGAGUUUUGGAAUGUUCCAGGCCUGGCAUGCAAUGCAGUUUUUACACAACGUAGCCCCUCCCUCUCAACUGCUGAGAAGACCCCUGUACCCGGGAAGCACGUCAUGGCAGAGGGUAUUGGACGCUCCCAGACGGGACACCCUCUACACACCCCCUACUGCCAGCCAGACUGCUUCAACUUGAGAAGAGCCCCAAUGAGAUGACUAAGGUUUGGAGAGGUUAAGGGACUUGUCCAAGGUCCCAGAGCAAGAACAUGGGAACUGGAUUUGAACCCCAGUCUGUGACUUUGGUGCUUGAGCAGAUGCCUUCUGAGCCACAUCUGGGACUCUGAUUCUGUCCGGAACUGAGCUUCAUUUAUGCCGCUGCCUAGUUGACAUCACUGACCAGCUGUCCGGUAGGGGCCUCUAACUCAACGUGCUGAACUCUGAGCUCAUUAGCCACCCUCCCCAGCCCGCUCCUCCCUCCUGCAGAAGGUACCUUCCGUCAUUGGCUGCCCAAGCCAGCAACGUGGGGAUCCUCCCUCCUCCCUUUCUUCCUCCACGUCCAACGAGGCAUGAGAGUAUGGAAUCUGGUCCGUCCCGUCUGUGAAAUGGGCCCAUCACUGGGCGCCUCCUCCCCAGCUGUGCGGCAGUGAUGUAGCUCAGACUCUGGGCCUUUCUCACCAGCACAAUUCCCAGGCUCUCCCAAGACUCUCCAAAUGGACCUCCAGCCUCCCCUCAACUCAAUUCCUUCCUCCAUGUGGCUGUCAGAAUGCAUGUUUCCAAGUACAAUCUAACCCUUCACUUCCAUCUUUAAAAAUGUUGGCUCCCCGUCACUUUCAAGAUAAAACAUUAAGAAGUAGGCCCAGCAGAACUUUCUAAACCCUCCUCUGAUCACCUCCCUCUCUCAUCCAGUGAGCUACUGGCCACGUGGGAUUGCGCGCCUUGCCCAGGAUGUGCCAAGGUUUUCGUUCCCCUUGGCCUUGGCUCCAACUGUACUUCUGCCCAGAAAGCCCCCUUCCCCAUCUCCACCUGGCAAACUUGUACUUCUCCUUCCAAAACGGUUGAAUGUCAUCUUGAUGAAGCUUCCCCUGCCCCGCCCCGCAGGAUGAACAGCUCCCUCCUCUGUGCUCCCACAGCACUUUGCUCAAACUGCUGGCCCAGCACUUCCACACCAGCAGAGCCCUUAGCAGGUGGCUGCCUGUCCUUGCCUGAAGGGGGGGGGUAGUGGGCUGCUCGGCUCUGCCUCCCUGAUAGGGUCUGGCACAGCAGAGAUGUUUAAUAAAGGCUUGAGAGACUAGCGGACGGCUCUCCUCUCACCUCUUUCUCUAGUCUCCAACUUCCUGUUCUUCUGGCCUUGCUCCCAAGAUGGUUUCCACCUGGAAACCAUCCAGUGAAAAAAGUCUUGCUGGAAGGUGAUCUGAGGAGUUGGCUGUGGUCUGUGUGACCCCUGGAACUCAAGUAAUCUGAUUGGGACCAGAAAACACAGAUUGUAGUCGGGGAAUAUGGAUUCUGAACCAAACCGCAAGACUUGAACACGUCACUUCUCUUCUGUGGGCCUCGGUGUUCUUUUUGUGUUUUUUUGAAUUAACUUAAUUUUAAUUGUGGUAACAUUGAUUUAUAACAUAAUAACAUUAUAUAAGCUUCAUGAGUAUAGAAGUGUAUUUCUGCUUCUGUAUACCCAACACCAUGCUCAUCACUAAACAUUUAUUUUCCAUCUGUCACCACACACUUGAUGCCCUUUACUGACUUCACCCUUCCCCCACCCCCGCUUCCAUUCCAGCAUCCUGUACUUUGCAUCAAUGUGCUUGUUUUCAAUUGAUUUGGUUUAUUUUGGUUUUGUUUAUUUGUUUUAGUUUUAUGUUUCACUUAUGAGUAAAAUCAUACCGUAUUUGUCUUUC